GCCCUCGUAGCUCAAUGGAUAGAGCUCCGCACUCCUAACGCGGGGAUAGAGGUUCGAUUCCUCUCGGGGGCA
rnacentral:tRNA from 1 species